GAUGAACGCUGGCGGCGUGCCUAAUACAUGCAAGUCGAGCGAACGGACGAGAAGCUUGCUUCUCUGAUGUUAGCGGCGGACGGGUGAGUAACACGUGGAUAACCUACCUAUAAGACUGGGAUAACUUCGGGAAACCGGAGCUAAUACCGGAUAAUAUUUUGAACCGCAUGGUUCAAAAGUGAAAGACGGUCUUGCUGUCACUUAUAGAUGGAUCCGCGCUGCAUUAGCUAGUUGGUAAGGUAACGGCUUACCAAGGCAACGAUGCAUAGCCGAUCUGAGAGGGUGAUAGGCCACACUGGAACUGAGACACGGUCCAGACUCCUACGGGAGGCAGCAGUAGGGAAUCUUCCGCAAUGGGCGAAAGCCUGACGGAGCAACGCCGCGUGAGUGAUGAAGGUCUUCGGAUCGUAAAACUCUGUUAUUAGGGAAGAGCAUAUGUGUAAGUAACUGUGCACAUAUUGACGGUACCUAAUCAGAAAGCCACGGCUAACUACGUG
rnacentral:rRNA from 1 species